UCCAAAUCUUCAAGUGUACCAAUGUAAGGUGUGCCUCCAGCAGCUCUGAGUUUUGCCGCGUUUUCUUCUGAGCGCACCAGACCAACCACUUCAUGUCCGGCUUCAAGAAGCUGUCUCACUAUUUCAGAGCCAAUAAACCCAGCUGCACCAGUUACAAAUAUACGCAUAAUUGCUUAAGAAGAUACUGUUCUCGGAUCACCUCCUUAUGUACGAAUACAUACUCAUUGGUAUAAAGUAAAUUAAACGAUAUAUAAAGACCACAGGUAAGCGAUCAUGACGUAAAAGAGCGACAGUUUAUUCUUCCUAUAUGACUAAGCUUGUUAAUCAGUAACGAACAAAUGGAGGAUUUAAAAAAGAUGCAAGCAUAUAUUAAUUAACAAAAAGAAGUGAGCAUGCAGAAUACUGGAUUCCUUAGGUCUCCAACCAUAGUAUUUAUGAGGCCUUGGAGCAUUUAGCUGCAAAUGAUCGAACAGGAACUGGUGUUUCCUCGCCUAGGACGUUAUGAAAAAACCUAUUGUUGACGAUCGGUCAUUUAUAUUCUAUUUUAUUUAAUCGUAUAAGGUGAUCAUUGGAAGAAAUAUAUGUUGUCUCACGUUUUAGCAUAUUACGAUCUGUAAUCCUUAGUAACAUGGACCUGUAAUAGACGGCCUCGUUCUUUCUAUACUCUUCUUUGGUUUUACUGUCAGGGUCUCUUUGCUCUUUGCGAUGAAUACAAAGAGUACGAAUCCGCUAAGAAUUAUAACGAACGGUGAGAAUACUCGAUAAAAUCAGAUGUGUUUGCUGGUCAUUUCCACGGUCUAUCUAGCACAAUGAGUGCUGCUGGAUUUGCUCGAUAUAGACUCAUCCGGCGCUUGGCGAUCUAUGGGUAUGGAUGAUUUUCUGUUGCCUGAAAGCCGACUGGCUGAUCGCGCUAAAUUUCCUGCAUGAGAUUUCCAGUAAUAUGACUAUUUACUGCUAAAAUUAAGUGUGCUAUAAUGUUUUCGUUACUUAUCUCAAGCUAUACAUCAAGUGGGAGGUAUAAGCUCUUCUGUUAUAUAUACGUUACCAUUAAAAACAGUGUUUUGGCCAGCUUUCACCAAGCGCAAAAAACAUACAUGUUAACGAAACAAUUCAAUUGUUUUUUUUUUAAACUCUAUGGUUCAUGAACAAAUCUUGCAAUCAUUGAUAACCUUACUGAUGCUACAGAAAAACUAAAUCUCGGCGAAACAAUUUUUUACAUUAUUCAAAUGACAUCGUAGUAAUCGUUAAUUCCUUCAAUAAUUAAACAAGAUAACUCAACACACACUAUAGUUACGGAAUAAUAAAUAGAUUUUGCUAACUUAGGUGCUGUAACAUUACUUUCAGUUUGCCUUGUCAACAAGUUUAAAUAGCAAAUUAAAAGAAACUAGUUUGUUUGAAACUAUAAAACCUUUUAGCUUAAAAACGAAAUGAAAAAUUUUCCUAAUUUUAUCAAUAAAGUAGU